UACAGAGGUCCCAAGCGUUGUUCGGAUUCAUUGGGCGUAAAGGGUGCGUAGGCGGCGCGGUAAGUCGGGUGUGAAAUCUCGGAGCUUAACUCCGAAACUGCAUUCGAUACUGCCGUGCUUGAGGACUGGAGAGGAGACUGGAAUUUACGGUGUAGCGGUGAAAUGCGUAGAUAUCGUAAGGAAGACCAGUGGCGAAGGCGGGUCUCUGGACAGUUCCUGACGCUGAGGCACGAAGGCCAGGGAGCAAACGGG
rnacentral:rRNA from 1 species